CCAAAGAAGUGGGGACAGAGACCCAGAAAAAGGGGGACAGAUUCAGAAAGGGGUCAAAGAGGCACGGGUGAGAAGGGGGUAGAGACCCAAGGGAGGGAAAGAGACAGGACAGAAAGAGAAAAGGCAGUGACAGAGGGGCGAAAGAGACGGAAGAGGGGGAAAAGACGCAGGGAAGGAGGUGGUCAGAGAACAAGAGCUGGGGGGACCGAGACCCAGAGAGAGGACGGAGGAGACCCUGGCGGGAGGGGAGUAUUGAGGACAGAAACACAAAGAGGAAGGACAGAGACAGGAAGGAAAAGAGACCCAGAGAGAAGAGUUCAGGGACCCAAGAGAGGAGAAAGAGGCCAGAGAGAGAGAAAUCAGAGAAGAAGAUAGAGGCCAAGAGAAAGACAUUGAGGGUGGAAGACCCCGCCAUGGUCCGGGGAGAGGAGAUUGAGGCUUAGAGAGCAGAGAGGCACCGCCUCCGGCCGUCGCAGCCCCAGCAGCAGCCGCUGGCCCGGCCCCUGCCCCGCGCCUGCGCUCUACUACCCGGUGGCUAGGCCCGCCCAGGGGGCGGGGCCGGACCCGCUGCUAGGCGGUCCGCCUAGUUCUGGUCCCGCCCUCCGUUGGCCCCGCCGUGGUCUCCCCGCCCUCUCUCCAGGACGCUCUGACACCUGACUCCGCCCAAUUUCCUAUCGGCCCCGCCUGUUUCCUCAGCCUAGACUGUGCUUCCCGGUGUUUUAAUGGUUUCUCCCCUCCGCCUCCCUUAAGACUCUCCUCACCAGUUCCCAUCCAUCCCUCGGUUCUCCUGGCUGCAGUCUGCCGUUAUCUAUACCUUGUCCCCUUUCCCUCACCGCGUUACCCCCUUUAAGGCCCUGCUGAUCCUUAAGACUCUCUCCCAGGUUAUUUGGCCUCCAAGACUUCCCGUUCUAGGUUCCACCGCUCCGUCCAUUCCGAUAGCCUUGUACUCUUUGCAGGUUUCACAUUUUCCUUAGCCAUUCUCUACACUCUUAGCCCUGCCCCGCCCCCGCCUACCCUGGUUGCUUUCAAGUCCGUUAAAGCCCCUCUCCUCUCUUAGUCUUGCAUUUCCACAGGCAAUUCAAGACGUUUUCUACCAUUCGUGGACCCCACCCACC
ensembl:lncRNA